GUGCACCAGGCGCGAAUCUUCGGCAAUGGGGGAAACCCUGACCGAGCGACGCCGCGUGUGGGAUGAAGGCCCUUGGGUUGUAAACCACUGUCAGAGGGGAUGAAAUGCCGGAAAGUUAUCUCUCCGGUUUGACAUAGCCUCAGAGGAAGCACGGGCUAAGUUCGUGCCAGCAGCCGCAGUAAGACGAACUGUGCAAACGUUAUUCGGAAUCACUGGGCUUGAAGAGUGCGUAGGCGGUUUCGUAAGUAGGGUGUGAAAGCCCCCGGCUCAACCGGGGAAUUGCGUCCUAAACUGCGAGGCUGGAGUGAGGUAGGGUGUGUGGAACUUCCAGUGGAGCGGUGAAAUGUGUUGAUAUUGGAAGGAACGCCGGUGGCGAAAGCGACACACUGGACCUUGUCUGACGCUGAGGCACGAAAGCCAGGGGAGCAAAACGGGAUUAGAUACCCCUGUAGU
rnacentral:rRNA from 1 species